rnacentral:rRNA from 1 species
AACGAACGCUGGCGGCAGGCUUAACACAUGCAAGUCGAACGCACCGCAAGGUGAGUGGCAGACGGGUGAGUAACACGUGGGGAUCUGCCCAAUGGUACGGAAUAGCUCCGGGAAACUGGAAUUAAUACCGUAUGUGCCCUUCGGGGGAAAGAUUUAUCGCCAUUGGAUGAACCCGCGUCGGAUUAGCUAGUUGGUGAGGUAAAGGCUCACCAAGGCGACGAUCCGUAGCUGGUCUGAGAGGAUGAUCAGCCACACUGGGCCUGAGACACGGCCCAGAGUCCUACGGGAGGCAGCAGUGGGGAGGAUUGGACAAGGGGCGCAAGCCUGAUCCAGCCAUGCCGCGUGAGUGAUGAAGGCCUUAGGGUUGUAAAGCUCUUUCGCCGACGAAGAUAAUGACGGUAGUCGGAGAAGAAGCCCCGGCUAACUUCGUGCCAGCCGCCGCCGUAA